rnacentral:lncRNA from 1 species
AAAUUAUUACAACCAACAUCUUUGUAUGUCAAGACUCCAUGAGAGUGUCUUAAGACCUUGCAUCUCACAUGAAAGCAGAAUCAGGAAAAAUUAACGACAUGAAGUACUGCAUACUGAGGAAGAUAAACUGCAUAAUAACGAGUUCCCAUGAAUCACAGAAAAAAAGAUGCCAUGCUGAGGAAAACAAAGGAAUAAUUCAAAUUUUGCUGCUUUAAAUGAAUUAAAACUGACAUAAAAGCAAGAAAACAUGACACCAAACAAGAUAAACAGGAACCAUAGCCCUUGGACUCAAAAGACCUUACCUGUGGUUCAUAAGGUAAAGCAGGAAUUUUCCAGAGAUAUAUGAUGAGAAGAGGGGGUCUCUAGAAAGAAUCAUAUAUAUCAAAGGGGAAAUAAACGACAAGUCAUAGUUUUAAAAUAUUUGAGA